rnacentral:rRNA from 1 species
AAGCGGCGAACGGGUGAGGAAUACAUGGGUAACCUACCCUCGAGUGGGGAAUAACCAGCCGAAAGGUUGGCUAAUACCGCAUACGACUCCCGGACUAUAGUUCGGGAGGGAAAGCGAUACCGUGGGUAUCGCGCUCUUGGAUGGGCUCAUGUCCUAUCAGCUUGUUGGUGAGGUAAUGGCUCACCAAGGCUUCGACGGGUAGCUGGUCUGAGAGGACGAUCAGCCACACUGGCACUGCGACACGGGCCAGACUCCUACGGGAGGCAGCAGUAAGGAAUAUUGCGCAAUGGGCGAAAGCCUGACGCAGCGACGCCGCGUGGGGGAUGAAGGUCUUCGGAUUGUAAACCCCUUUCGGGAGGGAAGAUGGGGCGGGAAACCGUUCGGACGGUACCUCCAGAAGCAGCCACGGCUAACUUCGUGCCAGCAGCCGCGGUAAUACGAAGGUGGCAAGCGUUGUUCGGAUUCACUGGGCGUACAGGGAGCGUAGGCGGUUGGGUAAGCCCUUCGUGAAAUCUCCGGGCCUAACCCGGAAAGUGCGAGGGGGACUGCUUGGCUAGAGGAUGGGAGAGGAGCGCGGAAUUCCCGGUGUAGCGGUGAAAUGCGUAGAGAUCGGGAGGAAGGCCGGUGGCGAAGGCGGCGCUCUGGAACAUUUCUGACGCUGAGGCUCGAAAGCGUGAGGAGCAAACAGGAUUAGAUACCCUGGUACUCCACGCCCUUAAACGAUGGAUACUAACUGUCGGCGGAUUACCGCCGGUGCCGCAGCUACGCCCUAGUAUCCCGCCCUGGGAGUACGGCGGCAAG